rnacentral:rRNA from 1 species
UACGGAGGGUGCAAGCGUUAAUCGGAAUUACUGGGCGUAAAGCGCACGAAGGUGGCUGAGUCAGUCGAUUGUGAAAGCCCUGGGCUUAACCUGGGAAUUGCAGUCGAUACUACUCAGCUAGAGUAUGGGAGAGGGUAGUGGAAUUCCCGGUGUAGCGGUGAAAUGCGCAGAUAUCGGGAGGAACACCAAUGGCGAAGGCAGCUUGCUGGGACGGUACUGACGCUGAGACGCGAAAGCGUGGGGAGCAAACAGG